GGGCUGAUCUUGCAUUUUUUUCUGCAGGACGUGACUAUUUCUCAUUAGUCAAUCUACUUUUUUACGCGAUAUGCCAUAGCAAACUGCUCAUAUUAAUGAAGCUAAGUGUGCAAAUGCUGCUCACUGGAAAUGAUAGGUUUAUUUAGACGUGCCGAAUAUUCUACUGAAUUUAUAUAUGUCCCUCACAACUUUAGUUUCGCAUUGGUAAUCUUGUAUCUUCAUCAAGUUGUCUAACUGCACGUGUAUGUGUCAUCCAUCGGUUUAUGCUUGCUGUUUAAGCAAGGGCAAGGCCUUAUUUACAAUAACGGGUUCAGAUUAAUUCAGAUAAUUUUUUUUUCGAGGGCGAAAAUUCAGAUAAUUUAACCAGCCAUCUCCAACAUUAAGAAUAAACGAAGCACUAAAGUCUAAAGUUUGAACUUAUCAUCGGAGUUUAUGCCUUGCGAUCUCCGCGAAGAACCAAUAACCUUUUUAAAGUGAAAUUGCACGCACCCUGUUUUGCUUAUAGUAGUAGUAGGAUCUGUGUCCUUUUUUUUUUGUUCAUGGUCCUAUGGGUUACUUGUGCAACCCCAACGUUUUGACCAUGGGCAGCGAGUCCUCUGUUUUUUCCAGAAAAUUCAAUGGCUCUGCUCUACUCUGAAAUUCUCAAUUUUUGUUUUUGGUUACCAGGAACGCGUGGACGGGCCGGACACGGAGAGGAGUAAAGUCACGGUGGACUACUUGGCAUUGUCUGACCUGUGGGAGCACUUUGCUGAGAGCUGUGCCUACGGCCUCGCCGUGCUCGUCCACCUCCUAGGUCACGUCCUACCUCUCCGCCAUCCAGAAGCUAUACACAGCCACCAGCCUCACCAUCUCCAGCUACCCGUGGCUGCGGCUUCUGGCUCAGCAUCGACAUCGGCAUUGGAUGCACCCGUGCUCUUGGCAACGGAUGAUGGGUGCUGCUGGUGUCACCAGAGAGAACACCGUCGUCUUCGCGUCCUGCUUCUUGGAAUCAACUAUAGCUAUGAGACUAAAAUUUGAAGUUGAGUGAAUUGGAACCAAUGGAUGAAUUAAAGGAAGAGGUAGCAGUAUGCAUGAUGCACUUCAAAGCAGUCAUACUUCAACCUCCAUUCAUGCUGCCAUGCUAUGGUGGUGAGUCAACAAUGACGCAACCGUGGCAGCGGUGGCCUUCUUCUACACCUCUGUGUUUUAGGGGUUCUAGAGGAAGGAGCAUCUUCAGUGGUAGUUUGGAGCUGCAGCUCACCUUCUCCCAGACGCAAGUAGAACUUGUGACAUGUGUUAUGCAGGCUGGUAUGGACGAGACAGACCUAGAGGGUGCACUUACUGGUUUUGUGGUUGUAGUUCCUACGGAGCCUGGAAAGGCUGAGUGGAUAACGAGGUCUAGAUGAUAGCCGGAGGACCUCAUGCAUCACUUGUAAGCUGGAAGACAAGGAAAUGUCACCAUGUGCCUUGGUCCAGCUGCUUUCUCUAUACAGCAAAACAUAAGUCCACUAACCCCAAAGAUGAUAGAAUCAACUGCCGAUUUAUUGUCUCUAACCAGAAGGAUUGAAGAGGAGUUAGCAAAGAGGGAUGCCCUUAUCAAGGGAUCACCAAAACAGUUCUCGCGCUACAGUGCCUGGGUGUGUCCCGUGCCGAGCAGCGCACCAUCUUUUUGAUGACAUAGAGAUACAUCUCUAUCAUCAAACUUUGGGAUUCCCAGGUGGCACUCCAUGAGAUUGAGCUUGGACUACCUCCUUGGCUUGGAAGCGGCGAUGUUCAGCCUCGGUUACAUGCUCUCCGGACUCCGGUGAACUACUGGUUCACCUUCAGUUUUCUAGCUCCCAUGUGCUCUGUGAUUGGCAGUGAAGUUCAGCCUUGGCUAUAUGCUCUCCGCUGGGUCAAGGACAUGAAGUUUACGAGGGUGAAGGAUGUAAGCAGCCAUAAACUUUCGACUAUUGAUUCACUAGUUCUCUCAUCAUCAGCCAUUGUCUAUGGUUGGCCCAAGGAAGUGCCUUUGACAGGAAUUCUGUGAUGAACCCUUACGAUGAAGAAAGCUCGUCAUCGAGGGCAUCUAUUGUGACCUAAUGCUGGGACCCUGAUGGAAUAUCACUGCUGGCCUAUGGCUGGGAGGCCGACGAUCCUCCCCUCCCUGGCGCGAACUUAUAACUUCAGCGCCAUGUUGACAUGUCCAAUCGUUCUCCUUAGGCAGGGGUGGUUGUUGAAGAUUUCUCUUCACGCCGCUCUGGUUGGUCCAUUGUAUCCCUCGCUAUCUGCGGCAUUUUUGUUCCAGAUCUUGCAUAGGCAGUGGUACACCCUGAGUUGCUGUCGGUGUCAACGAGGAGCUGCACCUCUGACCUGCUGCUCCUGCUUCCGGCCAGCACUCCAGGGGCCUCUGCUAGACUGGCGAGUGGAGCCCCAGCCUUGGAGCCAGGGCAUGGCAAGGUACCAAGUCAACGCGCAGGAUAUUGUGGAGGACUACAUGGUUGUUACCAACUAUGUAUGUGGAAAGGCAUCUCGGCUCCAGUGGUGCUGCUGCGGGCAACAUCUGUGAUCUAUUGUUGAAGUUGCUUGUAGUGUUGAGUGGUAGUCGAUUGUCCAUUUUCCGUAUUUUGGUUAGGUUGUAUUCUUGGUUAAUUAAUCUGUGUUGUGAAUACUAGUAUGUAUGCAUGCUCUAGAUGGUUAUAUUUUUGGCUUGGACUUACCAUCAAGGUGGGCCUCUCUAGGUCGCUCAAGGUUGCACUAGAUGGUAGAUGCAUGCUUGGCUAGCUGGUGCUGCAUGUUCUCAUGUAUUUAUAUCCAUAAUACUACCUACUUGGUACAGAUAGAAUGUACUAGCAUGAGUUUGUAAACUCAAAUAUUAAGGCUUAUUGAAAGAUUUUGUCACUCUCA